rnacentral:rRNA from 1 species
UACGGGGGGUCCAAGCGUUGUUCGGGAAUCACUGGGCGUAAAGCGCAUGUAGGUGGCUUUUCAAGUCAACUGUGAAGCCCAGGGCCUAACCCUGGAAGUGCAGUUGAUACUGUUGAGCUUGAGUACGGAGAGAGGAUAGUGGAAUUUCUGGUGUAGUGGUGAAAUACGUAGAUAAUCAGAAGGAACAUCGGUGGCGAAGGCGGCUAUCUGGCUCGAUACUGACACUGAGAUGCGAAAGCGUGGGGAUCAAACAGG